AGCCCGUAAUCGGAUAGCAUAGGAAGGUCCAUAGGAAACCAUCCCGAACUCCAAUUAUGAAAGCUUAUGCGCUAUCUUUACUGUUUUGCAAUGGAAAACGAUAGUGAUUACGGGUG
rnacentral:rRNA from 1 species